AUUGAACGCUGGCGGCAUGCUUUACACAUGCAAGUCGAACGGCAGCGCGGGCUUCGGCCUGGCGGCGAGUGGCGAACGGGUGAGUAAUACAUCGGAACGUGCCCAGUAGUGGGGGAUAGCUCGGCGAAAGCCGGAUUAAUACCGCAUACGACCUGAGGGUGAAAGCGGGGGAUCUUCGGACCUCGCGCUAUUGGAGCGGCCGAUGGCAGAUUAGCUAGUUGGUGGGGUAAAGGCCUACCAAGGCGACGAUCUGUAGCUGGUCUGAGGGGACGACCAGCCACACUGGGACUGAGACACGGCCCAGACUCCUACGGGAGGCAGCAGUGGGGAAUUUUGGACAAUGGGCGAAAGCCUGAUCCAGCAAUGCCGCGUGUGUGAUGAAGGCCUUCGGGUUGUAAAGCACUUUUGGCGGGAACGAAAAGGACUGUGCCAAUACCACGGUUCGAUGACGGUACCCGCAGAAUAAGCACCGGCUAACUACGU
rnacentral:rRNA from 1 species